rnacentral:rRNA from 1 species
GUUGCGGUUAAAACGCUCGUAGUUGAGUCUUUGCUGAGAAGCGUGGGUCCAUCCUAGUGAUCGGAACCUAGGCCUCUGGCAUUUUCCUGGGGAGGACUGUCUGCGCUUCACUGCGUAGCGUCUGGUCCAGGUGGAUUACUUUGAGAAAACGAGAGUGUUCCAAGCAGGCUGUCCGCCAGAAUACAUUAGCAUGGAAUAAUAGCAUAGGACCUCAUUCCUCUUUGCUGUUGGUUGAUUGGAGUGAGGGAACGCAAAUAGGGAUAGUUGGGGGCAUUCGUAUUUAACUGUCAGAGGUGAAAUUCUCGGAUUUUUUAAGACGAACUAGUGCGAAAGCAUCUGCCCAGGAUGUUUUUCUUAAUCAAGAACGAAAGUUAGGGGAUCGAAGACGAUCAGAUACCGUCCUAGUCUUAACCAUAAACCAUGCCGACUAGAGAUUGGGACCGUCUCACAACGGGCGCUCCCAGCAGCUUGAGAGAA